CCCAAAAUCCCUAUUCGAGCUCGUUUCCCCCCAAAAUCCCUAAAACCUUUGAAGCAAAAAACCCAAGUGAGCAACGACGGUGGAAUUUUGCUACCUUUGAGGCGUAUUGCUUGCGACGAAGGUGGAAUUUUGCUCCGAGCAGCGAGUAGCGACGACAGCGAGCGACGACGGCUAGCAGCAGUCAGUCUUAAUCGCACCUCUCUCACUCACUCAGCCAGUGACGACGCCUAGAGACAAUGGAAACAGAUGAAGCUCAAAGGGUUCUUCCAUUUCAGCUUCAGUUUGACAAACCACUCCCUUCUCAGAUUAAAAUAGCAGAAUGGAACCCAGAAAAGGAGUAAAUCUCACCAUGGUUACUGAGGACUCUAAAAUUCUUCCCCAUCGUUUCAAUUGGCAACGUUGGACUGUAUCCCCAGGAAAAUGCAUAAUAUCCUUGUGUUGGCGUCCCGAAUCUGAUGAAGACCAAGAAGCAUCAAGUUUCCACUUAAGAAUGGAAAGCUGUUGCAAAGCAUAAAGUCCCAUUCUGUUGCUGUUGUGUGUCUUAACUGGGAGGAAGAUGGAAUGGAGUAUGCAUUUCCUUAACUUUUGUCCAUAUGGCUUUUGUAGAGCAUGUAACCAUUAUGUAUACAUAAAGUAAUACUACAUUUCUAUUAUCUACUUAUAGUAUAAACAUUUUACAAAAAGAAAUUGAACUGAUUUGUUCCUGUAAGAUUAUGUAGGAUUUGGCCUUAAUUGAUGGAAAUUCAUGGAUCGUUAAGAUCAGAGAAAGGAACUUUAAUGUAGAAAUUUAUUACAUCAGCUUUUAGAUA